rnacentral:rRNA from 1 species
UACGGGGGGGGGCAAGCGUUGUUCGGAAUUACUGGGCGUAAAGGGCUCGUAGGCGGCCAACUAAGUCAGACGUGAAAUCCCCAGGCUCAACCUGGGAACUGCGUCUGAUACUGGAUGGCUUGAAUUCGGGAGAGGGAUGCAGAAUUCCAGGUGUAGCGGUGAAAUGCGUAGAUAUCUGGAGGAAUACCGGUGGCGAAGGCGGCAUCCUGGACCGACACUGACGCUGAGGCGCGAAAGCUAGGGGAGCAAACAGGG